UUUACUGACACAAACUUACCGUAGUGUGUUGGUGGUUAGCUGGUAAAUUAGCAUGUCCAAACGAUCGAAAUUAUCUUCAUGCGAGCACAGGAAGGGCAUUUUUAAAGGAGGAAGGACUUCUGAAGCGAAGAGAGAAGUUUUUGAGACUUAUUUUACAGUGAAUGUCAGAGGGAAUACUGAAUACUCAGACGUUAGCAGGUGCUAGCUAGCCACGGACAGGUGCUAGCCAACUGGCAGGUGCCUAACCGUUUCUAGAGAGCAGUUUAUCUUUCAGACUGAUUCAGAAAUCACCAUCUCAGCAGUUUAAUGGAACAGAACAGACAUAAUGGACUUCUAAUGAACUGUACAGAGGACCAGCUGGCUCAGAAAACUGAAGACUUGGUGAGGUCGCCAGUAAACGUGUAAAGGAUAUUUAUUCUCCAUCAUCGUCUGAAACAGCUGACUCUUCGAUUAUCCAAAUGUGGUGGAAAAAUCGCAGACUUUUCUGGUGUGUUUGACGCUGCAGCUCCAGCACGUGUUUGUACGCUGUUCCGGUGAGAAGGCAGUGUUACAGUGCCAGCCGUCUCGGGCCUCGGGGACCAGCAGGGUUAUCACAUCACCUUCGUUGAAGCUCAGCAGGGUGCUGUUGUCACCGGCAGCGUGUGAGAAGAUGGCCUGGACUCGAGUUCUUCCGUUUCUCUCCAGUC